rnacentral:rRNA from 1 species
GACGAACGCUGGCGGCGUGCUUAACACAUGCAAGUCGAACGGAAAGGCCCUGCUUUUGUGGGGUGCUCGAGUGGCGAACGGGUGAGUAACACGUGAGUAACCUGCCCUUGACUUUGGGAUAACUUCAGGAAACUGGGGCUAAUACCGGAUAGGAGCUCCUGCUGCAUGGUGGGGGUUGGAAAGUUUCGGCGGUUGGGGAUGGACUCGCGGCUUAUCAGCUUGUUGGUGGGGUAGUGGCUUACCAAGGCUUUGACGGGUAGCCGGCCUGAGAGGGUGACCGGCCACAAUGGGACUGAGAUACGGCCCAGACGCCUACGGGAGGCAGCAGUGGGGAAUAUUGCAGAAUGGGCGGAAGCCCGAUGCAGCAACGCCGCGUGCGGGAUGACGGCCUUCGGGUGGUAAACCGCUUUCGCCUGUGACGAAGCGUGAGUGACGGUAAUGGGUAAAGAAGCACCGGCUAACUACGUG